CAAUAGCGUAUAUUUAAGUUGUUGCAGUUAAAAAGCUCGUAGUUGGAUUUCGGAUGGGAUUUGCCGGUCCGUCGUUACGAUGUGCACUGGCCAGUCCUAUCUUGUUGUCGGGGACUAGCUCCUUGGAUUCACUUCCUGGGACUAGGAGCUGACGAGGUUACUUUGAGUAAAUUAGAGUGUUCAAAGCAAGCCUACGCUCUGAAUACAUUAGCAUGGAAUAACACGAUAGGACUCUGGCUUAUCUUGUUGGUCUGUGAGACCAGAGUAAUGAUUAAGAGGGACAGUCGGGGACAUUCGUAUUUCAUUGCCAGAGGUGAAAUUCUUGGAUUUAUGAAAGACGAACUUCUGCGAAAGCAUUUGUCAAGGAUGUUUUCAUUAA
rnacentral:rRNA from 1 species